AAGGAAAGGAAAUCAGCCCGCCCCCGCACGACAAAUCCCAUCUCCACCUCCUGCCACGCCCUUCACCGCGCGCCGCCACCGCCCACCCCGUCGGCGCACCUGCCCCGACCCGACCGGCUACACGGGGAUGAAGCUCGAGCACACCUUCUGGAUCGGCUCAACGCGGCGGGUCGAGCGGUUGGGGGUGGCACGGCUGCUCGAUGUAGAACGGCGGCGGCGGCGGCGGCGGCGGCUGGAGCUUGCAGGGGGCGGAUCCGUGCGUGGCAGGGGCUGGGGAGCCUGAUCCGAAGGCGGGGGUCGCCGUUGACGACGAGGAAGGCCAGAGCGCGGGAUCCGGUUACCUAGCCAGGAGCUCGCCGGAGUCGGGCGACGGAGGGCGGGCGCGCGAGACGGAUGGAUCCGGCGCGGCGGCGCGAAUUCCUUGCAGGUAGAAGCAGCAGCAGAAGGAGGAGGAUGGGAAGGCUGUAGCCACCGCAGAGAAGAACGAGAUUGGAAAUGCUCUUCAGCAGCCUGUUCUAUGACUCGGCAUCAUCGGAGAACUUUUCUGGUCAUCCCGGUGUUUAGAGAUGCCCAUUCCUGAGGAACAUCAAUGGAGCCACAACCUUUUCAUUUCUUCUGCUUUGCCUGUAGCUGCUCGGGGAAGCAAGGGCCUGAUCUUUGAGGAUGGACCAGGCUUUGAGUCGGCAUUCAAGCUUUUCCAUGGACAGGAUGGGAUAGUUCCCCUUUCAGGAAGAUCAUAUGUGCCUGAUGAGAACCGUAGUGAGAUCACUGAUGUCAAUCCUGAACCUGCUCUGCCCUUUAAUCCAUUUGCUGCAAGAGCCGCUACCAUAAGUCUAUCAGCAUUUGGACCAUUCGGGUUUAACUUCUAUAAUGGCAAGGGAAAAAAGCAGAACAAGAAGCCCAACAAUCUAGACCAGUCACACAAGAAGCCCAACAAGCCAGAUCAGAAUUCCAUGAAAGCAAGAGGCAGAAGCUGGAGCGACAGCCGUGGUGCCGUGGAAGUGGCGAGUCAUGGAGGCAGAGUUGGUCAGUGCAAAGUUGUGCGAAGCGAAGCCAGGCUACGCAGACAAGCAGGCCGAGGGCGAAGGCGGUCGGGUGCCACAGAUGGAGGCGCUGGGACAGGGUGGUGAGGUGAAGAGGACGGGGUCGAGAGCAGCUACAGUGCGUGCAUCUUGUCCCCUCCUUUGUUUUUUCACCAAGCCUACCUAAAAUCUAUCAAAUUAUUCAGGGUAAGAUAGCCGAAUACAUCUACCUCUGGUUAAUUUUAUUUUUUUAACAUGCAAGUACUUUAUUCAGCUGAUCGGGUCUUCUUUUACUUCCGUUCCUCAAUUGUAUUCAUUGGCUGAUCGCCAUGCAUCUAGAAGGUGAUGUCCUGAAGCAUCUAUCAACAUGGAUUAUAGACCGAAUUAUCAACAAGUAUGGUGUUAGCCAGUGUUACCGUGCUCUAAAACUAUGCAAUAGUGAUCUCAAAGAACCAUAAAUAUCCAACAUAGUGGUGGACUUUGGCAUUUUGUGUUUCUGUUAUGACUUUCCUUUGAAUAUUUUGUUAAUUUUCUAAAUAAUCUUUUCUUACCAGCACUGUUAGAGUGUGAUUCAUUAUAGAAAAUUUGAUUGAAGAUCUCAAUGAUGGCAAUUCUUUACAUAUGUAUAGUUGUUCAGCUCCUGCUUUCUGAAACUAUAUAGGAAAUUUGAUUGAAGAUAUGAUUGAUGGCGAUUCUAGGUCACAGUUGUUCAGCUCCUGCUUUCUGACCCAUCAAAUAUUUUGAAAAGUGUUUGCUCCAUCAGAUUCACAUAAAAAGAAAUUGCACAACUGCAUCAUGGCUGUACAGUAUAUGAAGGAAGCUCCGGUUCUGAUAUCUGAUGCAGAUGUAGUCAGAGUUUCAGCAGAAUAUAUUCUUAAUGGCGACAAGGAACUAAUUCUUGCAUUUCUAUGGAAUAUGUUCAUUCAUAUGCAGGUUAAUCUACACAUGUCGUUCAGUAUCUCAUUACUCAUGUUGAAGUUUUAUACUGUUUUAUUUCACCUUUCGUUUGUACUGAAGAGGUGGACUAAUGGACUGACUUUUGUAUUUUUCACUCACUGCAUAGGCAGCAUUACAGUAGAGAUAUGUUGUACUUCUCA